GAGCGCAGCAUCAAAACAAAUCACAUGAUUCCUAGUCAACACCUCGGUCUGCUGACAUAAGUGGACACAAGUUUAAGAAACGAGAAACGCAGAUCGGUUGAAGUCGAGUCAAGAAAAUACACUUUGGUAAUCCCAACGUGAAAUUAAAAAAAAAA